rnacentral:tRNA from 1 species
GUCAAGCUGGUGCAGUGGUAAACUUCUUUGUUUGGUAACAAGAAGUCACAAGUUCGAAUCUUGUACUUCUCU